UUGGCCAGCUAUCCAGUGCGUUGUGAUUGGCCGAAUACCUCAAGCGUGUGACGGAAAUAUUACGCACCUUAACAUAAUGUGAUGCCUGCGGCAACAACA